rnacentral:rRNA from 1 species
CCUACGGGGUGCAGCAGGCGCGAAACCUCCGCAAUGCACGCAAGUGCGACGGGGGAACCCCAGGUGCCACUCUUAACAGGGUGACUUUUCAGAAGUGUAAAAAGCUUCUGGAAUAAGGGCUGGGCAAGACCGGUGCCAGCCGCCGCGGUAACGCCGGCAGCUCAAGUGGUAGCCGCUUUUAUUGGGCCUAAAGCGUCCGUAGCCGGUCUGAUAAGUCUCUGGUGAAAUCCCACAGCUUAACUGUGGGAAUUGCUGGAGAUACUAUCAUGACUCGAGGUCGGGAGAGGCUGGAGGUACUCCCAGGGUAGGGGUGAAAUCCUGUAAUCCUGGGAGGACCACCUGUGGCGAAGGCGUCCAGCUGGAACGAACCUGACGGUGAGGGACGAAAGCCAGGGGCGCGAACCGGAUUAGAUACCCGGGUAGUCCUGGCCGUAAACGAUGUGGACUUGGUGUUGGGAUGGCUUCGGGCUGCCCCAGUGCCGAAGGGAAGCUGUUAAGUCCACCGCCUGGGAAGUACGGCCGCAAGGCUGAAACUUAAAGGAAUUGGCGGGGGAGCACA